rnacentral:rRNA from 1 species
AGUGAACGCUGGCGGUAGGCCUAACACAUGCAAGUCGAACGGCAGCACAGUAAGAGCUUGCUCUUACGGGUGGCGAGUGGCGGACGGGUGAGGGAUACAUCGGAAUCUACUUUUUCGUGGGGGAUAACGUAGGGAAACUUACGCUAAUACCGCAUACGACCUACGGGUGAAAGCAGGGGAUCUUCGGACCUUGCGCGAUUGAAUGAGCCGAUGUCGGAUUAGCUAGUUGGCGGGGUAAAGGCCCACCAAGGCGACGAUCCGUAGCUGGUCUGAGAGGAUGAUCAGCCACACUGGAACUGAGACACGGUCCAGACUCCUACGGGAGGCAGCAGUGGGGAAUAUUGGACAAUGGGCGCAAGCCUGAUCCAGCCAUACCGCGUGGGCGAAGAAGGCCUUCGGGUUGUAAAGCCCUUUUGUUGGGAAAGAAAAGCAGCAGGUUAAUACCCCGCUGUUCUGACGGUACCCAAAGAAUAAGCACCGGCUAACUUCGUG